rnacentral:rRNA from 1 species
UACGGGGGGAGCAAGCGUUGUUCGGAUUUACUGGGCGUAAAGGGCGCGUAGGCGGUCCGGUAAGUCGGUUGUGAAAGUCGGGGGCUCAACCCUCGGAUGCCGAUCGAUACUGUCGGGCUAGAGUCCGGAAGAGGCGAGUGGAAUUCCUGGUGUAGCGGUGAAAUGCGCAGAUAUCUGGAGGAACACCGGUGGCGAAGGCGACAUCCUGGACCAACACUGACGCUGAGGAGCGAAAGCCAGGGGAGCAAACGGG